GAUGAACGCUGGCGGCGUGCCUAAUACAUGCAAGUCGUGCGAACAGAUAAGGAGCUUGCUCCUUUGACGUUAGCGGCGGACGGGUGAGUAACACGUGGGUAACCUACCUAUAAGACUGGGAUAACUUCGGGAAACCGGAGCUAAUACCGGAUAAUAUUUCGAACCGCAUGGUUCGAUAGUGAAAGAUGGUUUUGCUAUCACUUAUAGAUGGACCCGCGCCGUAUUAGCUAGUUGGUAAGGUAACGGCUUACCAAGGCGACGAUACGUAGCCGACCUGAGAGGGUGAUCGGCCACACUGGAACUGAGACACGGUCCAGACUCCUACGGGAGGCAGCAGUAGGGAAUCUUCCGCAAUGGGCGAAAGCCUGACGGAGCAACGCCGCGUGAGUGAUGAAGGUCUUCGGAUCGUAAAACUCUGUUAUUAGGGAAGAACAUACGUGUAAGUAACUGUGCACGUCUUGACGGUACCUAAUCAGAAAGCCACGGCUAACUACGUG
rnacentral:rRNA from 1 species